rnacentral:rRNA from 1 species
GACGAACGCUGGCGGCGUGCCUAAUACAUGCAAGUAGAACGCUGAAGGAGGAGCUUGCUUCUCCGGAUGAGUUGCGAACGGGUGAGUAACGCGUAGGUAACCUGCCUGGUAGCGGGGGAUAACUAUUGGAAACGAUAGCUAAUACCGCAUAAGAGUAGAUGUCGCAUGACAUUUGCUUAAAAGGUGCAACUGCACCACUACCAGAUGGACCUGCGUUGUAUUAGCUAGUUGGUGAGGUAACGGCUCACCAAGGCAACGAUACAUAGCCGACCUGAGAGGGGGAUCGGCCACACUGGGACUGAGACACGGCCCAGACUCCUACGGGAGGCAGCAGUAGGGAAUCUUCGGCAAUGGACGGAAGUCUGACCGAGCAACGCCGCGGGAGUGAAGAAGGUUUUCGGAUCGUAAAGCUCUGUUGUAAGAGAAGAACGAGUGUGAGAGUGGAAAGUUCACACUGUGACGGUAUCUUACCAGAAAGGGACGGCUAACUACGUG